rnacentral:misc_RNA from 1 species
AGCAGCCGCGGUAAUUCCAGCUCCAAUAGCGUAUAUUAAAGUUGUUGCAGUUAAAAGCUCGUAGUUGAAUUUCGGGAUCAAUAUGCUGGUCGUGCCAUUGGUACGUACUAGUAUUAUUGGUUUCUCCUUUCUGAUGAAUCAUGAUGUCAUUAAUUUGAUGUCAUGAGGAAUCAGGACUGUUACUUUGAAAAAAUUAGAGUGUUUAAAGCAGGCUCGCGCUUGAAUACAUUAGCAUGGAAUAAUGAAAUAGGAUGUUUGAUUCUAUUUUGUUGGUUUCUAGGAUUGACGUAAUGAUUAAUAGGGAUAGUUGGGGGCAUUAGUAUUCAAUUGUCAGAGGUGAAAUUCUUGGAUUUAUUGAAGACUAACUACUGCGAAAGCAUUUGCCAAGGAUGUUUUCAUUAAUCAAGAACGAAAGUUAGGGGAUCGAAGACGAUCAGAUACCGUCGUAGUCUUAACCAUAAACUAUGCCGACUAGGAAUCAGACGAUGUUAAUUUUUUAAUGACUCGUUUGGCACC